ensembl:lncRNA
AAAAAAAAGAAAUGCUUACACCCAUACUUAAUCCAUGCCUAUUUUUAGAAUUAAUACAAUAGGGUGCUAAGUACCUAUAAAGGUCAGGCAACUUGUGAAUUUACAAGGAGCAAAGAGGUGAAAACUUAUUCAGAAGUUUUUUUCUGGUUCAAACUUACUAAAAGGAUUAGUCGACUCAGCUGUGUUUUUUCUGGGUCAAACUUACUAAAGGGAUUAGUCAACUCUGCUGUGAAUUCAGAAUGGGCUGUCCUUUGAAAAACGUCUACUGUGAUUGGUAGAUGGAAGAACUUAGGGGAGGUGACAUAGGAGAAAACCCCCUAUAUAAGAAAAAGGAAUCUCUUGAGAAGAGGAUUGUUUGAGAAGGGGCUCUUGAGAGACAGGCUCUAAGGAGGAUCUCUUGAGAACGAAUCUCUUGGAGGAAAUCUCUAAGGAGAUCUCUCAAGGGAGGCUGACUCUGGCUGGAACUCCCUCUGUGGAGACUCUGACCCUCUGAGUCCCUUGCUUGGACAAAUCUUAUGGUGAGUGAUUAAGGACUGACUGGUUUCUCUCUUAAGGCUUAGGCCUGGGUUGGCCAGGGCUGCCCUGGGCCGGCCUAUUCUUUUCUCAUUAAUUCCUUUGCUCUCUCCUCUCUUUCUUUAAUUCCUCAUUGUAUUGUUAAUUAAAUUCUCUAUAAAACCCAGUUGACUUGGGUAUAUUCAUAAUUGGGACUAUUUCCCUGGCGACCACCUUAUAUUUGAUUUAAAACCAAGACAUUGUAGUGAAACAUAUUUUCUGCGGUCACAAAUUUACUCACCCACUCUAAAAUCUACUAUAAUUUAUAUCUUCCACUAUUUUACUCACUACAGUUUACAACCUCAACCAUUUUAAUUAUUACAGUUUAUGGCAUCCACUCUUUUAAUUGCCACACUCUAACUCUUCAUGGUUAGAGUUUGGGUAAAUCCUUUGUGUUCUUCAGUGUCCUGCAGUCAUUUAAUGAAGGUUGUAUUACAUGAAUUCUGAAGGUUCAGCUCUAUGUCUUGUGACUUUUGCUGGUUUAGGGGUCAAUAGCACUCAAGGAUGUGACUGUGGACUUCACCCAGGAGGAGUGGGGCCUGUUGGACCAUUCUCAGAAAGAGCUGUGCCUGGAGGUCAUGCUGGAGAAUGUGCAGAAUCUACUCUCUGUGGGGCUUCCAGUUCCUAGAGAAAAUUUUAUCUCCUGUUUCCAGCAAGGGGAAGCAUCCUGGCUGCUAGAGCAAGAAGACCCAAGGAGCUCCUGUCCAGCUCAAGCCCAGGAAUUCCCAACUUGCCGGACAGCCCUAAAUCUACUCUCAAAGUCGAAAUCAUCUCCUCUCUUGGCAUCAUUUCCAAGUCUGAGGAGUCAGCUUUCUGAGCUAAUAAAAAUAUCAGAUGUGGUCCAAAGAAGCCCAGAGCCCUGGGCCACUCCUCUUAGCCAUCUUUCUUUCUUCCCUCUUUGUUCUACCUGUAUGAGAAACUCUAGGUAAGGCAAUUCCCUCCUCGGACACAGAGCAGUAGCUUGCCUAUGACUGAGUUUUAGAGAAGGACCCAAAUCUCUACGAGGUGAAAUGACUUGUCUAGGAUCACGCAGCCGUGGUAUCCAAGGUAGGACAUGAUGCUUCAACACACUCUCCACUGUGCUUUACCAUCUAUAAAUUGGCAGCGUGUCAAGAAGUGACUCUUCUUUGGGACGGGCCCUUUUUAACUUCAUUUUCUGACCAGCAUUUGGUUUUUUUCUCCUCACUCCCAUCCCCCAUGGCUCACUUCACCUGACCACAGCCUCUCUUAGCUGUCCAUAAGAAAAGUAUGAGAGACUUCUUGACGGCUCAGCGGGCGAAAUUUAGGCAGGCCGAGUCUGCAGCAUCCCCUGCUCUGCCAGUCUAGUCCCCUGUCCAAAAUGUGUCACCAGGGAUCCCCUGGAGGGGACCCCCGAGGCCUAGCCUUCUUGGGGUGACUGAACGGAGCCUCGGAAAGACCACUCUGUAACGGCGUUGGAUUCCAUGACUCCCCAGACCCUUCCGAGCUCCAAAUCAACAAUCCUGAAGCACCUGAUCUCAUCCGACUCUUGUUCCGUCAUUUCAGUCACAUUGACUGACACUGGAGUGGUUGGCCAUUUCCUUCUCCAGGACAUUUUAGAGAAGAGGCUGCAGUGAACCUUCCAUGACCUCAUGGAAUAGAGUUCCUCUUCCCAGGUGUUUGUGACCGUCCAUUCCUGCUGAGUCCACCAAAACAUAGUCAUCUCCCUUCAAGGCUGCAUGAACAGUUCCAAGAUCUCCUGGGAAUGGGUUCACUCCCCUGUUCACAUUCUGGGGAGGAUAGAUUGUGCCUCUCGAGAAGAGCUUGAAAUCUGGUGUGCUGCUUGCAAUAAACGUUCAUUAUCCCUCUUUGAUAAUGUUCCG